rnacentral:rRNA from 1 species
GAAAGACUGGGCGUAAAGCGCACGUAGGCGGCGCAGCAAGUCAGGGGUGAAAUCCCGGGGCUCAACCCCGGAACUGCCCUUGAAACUGCAGUGCUAGAAUCUUGGAGAGGUCAGUGGAAUUCCGAGUGUAGAGGUGAAAUUCGUAGAUAUUCGGAAGAACACCAGUGGCGAAGGCGACUGACUGGACAAGUAUUGACGCUGAGGUGCGAAAGCGUGGGGAGCAAACAGG